UGCUGAGAUUGGUGAGAAGCUUGUGCCUAAGUUCAAUUGAGACAACCACAUCCAUGUUGUUUCUUGGCAUGGGCAACCACAUCUAUGUUGAUAUUGGCUCCUGGGCUCCUUUAUAGGUCUCUUGUUGUGAAGCUUGUGGUUGGCAUGCCUUUCAAGCAUUCAAUUCUUAUGAGGGUGGAGUUGGAGAAGGUGGGGCGU